ACGCGUCGAGGGAGAAAUAUCGCCAUUAAUCGCCAUCUUGUUUCGUUCGCGUGUCGAGUGUCGACGGUGCGUUAGCUGCUGAACAGUUUCAUGAUAAAUUCGGGACAUCUUCCGUUCAUGAACUUAAUUUGGCACCGUUUUGUUUCUGAAACGAUUGGUAAAUAACUCGUGCACAAAAAAUUGAGCCCGAGGCGUAAAUAAAGUAGACGAGGCCUGAAAACUACAAGAUUUGCGUUAUUUUGACGAAAAAGUCCUUCGUGGCUUUACCGUCAGAAAAAUGAGCUACGGUCGACCGCCCCCACGGAUCGACGGGAUGGUUUCCCUCAAAGUCGAUAAUUUGACGUAUAGAACAACACCGGAGGAUUUACGUCGGGUUUUCGAAAGGUGCGGCGAAGUCGGCGAUAUUUACAUACCCCGUGAUCGUUUCAGCCGCGAAAGUCGAGGCUUCGCAUUCGUCAGAUUUUAUGACAAGCGUGAUGCAGAAGACGCGCUCGAUGCUAUGGACGGUCGUUUGUUAGAUGGCAGGGAGCUCAGAGUGCAAAUGGCUCGUUACGGAAGACCAACAUCUCCUCAUCGAAGUCGUGGAAGCCGUCGCCGUGGAAGAUCGGGAAGCCGCAGCCGAGAUCGCCGACGCUCUCGUUCCAGAUCUCGCUCAAGGUCGAGGAGUCGUGACAGGGAUCGCAGCAGGCGUUCGUACAGUAGAAGUCACAGCCGUUCAAGAUCAGACAGCAAGAGUUCGCGUGGAAAGUCACGUUCACGUAGCAAGUCAGCGGAUAGACAGAAGGAUAGUCGCUCCAAAUCGAGAGACUGAAGGGCCGAACGCGUGCAAGCGUGAGAGAUCGUCGUCCACGGGAUGGCCCAAGAAAAGCUAGAGCAGAUUGUUUCUGACAUUCAGAAAAGCGAAAAAGGCGGUGUAAUGGAGUGGCGUGGCGGUUGGUAGCGGAUGAUGGGGGUAGCUGAGAGUAAGCAGAGUAAAGCGGAUGUUUGCCAGGGGCUCUAUGCAGUUUGCAGUAUACGAUGCGGUGUUGGUGUUCUGGUCUGGUGAAAAAAGCAGGUUCGCGCGAAGCUCUGUGUGUUGGGGCCAAGGGGGGUGGUGUCGUGGAGACGAGAUUAAGCGGAUCUUAAAGUUCGUCCAUGCGGAAGAGAAAACGAAAGCGUUAAAAGAAAAAAGGGAAAGCGAGAGAAAACGUCAAGGAAAGAAAGAUCGAGAAAAAGAAUUGAAGUAAAGGGCAAUAAAAAAAACGAAUAUAUCGACCGAUGUCCGGGAAGGAAGCAGCGAUGAUCGUGUGCGAGAGGGAAACUUCGGAAAAGCUGUGAAACCGGCACAGACUCACAUUGAUCAUCGGCGCAGAGACAUCUCGCGGUCGACUAUUUCUACGUGACGAGAGAAAAAAGCAAAAGGAUAACUACUAAUUUCAAUCGGGUUUAAGCGUUUGCAAAAAAAUAGUAUAAAUUUAUCGGAAUUGCUUAUUAUCGCUACAGUAAACGUGCCAAAUUUCGUCAGGGAUACAUGAAUUUAUCCCACACUAUUUUUGCUUUUUUCGAUGGAUUAUCCGUACGAUCAUUUUUCUGGGUAUUCGCGCGCGAAAAGUGUGUUUCGGAUUCUCAAAGACCGCGAGUGCUUCGGAACUGACAAACCCACCUCCUCGGGAGAGUAUCGUUACCGGUCUUUUUUCUCGUCGUUUUGUUUUCCACUCCGCAGAGCUUCACCCGUCGGUUCCAAAGGUCUAUUUUAUCUCGAUUCUCGUUGCAAACUUGUUUUAUUUUUAUCUCUUUGCGAACUUUGCCUCCAAUCGAGGCAAAAACGAGAUUCCGUUUCGCGUGUCAGAUUACCUUCGUACCAAACUUUUUUUAGCCUUGUUUUUGUCUUAUUUCAUCUCAAGUUAGCUUCUAUCGCUCCGCAUCGCUGCACGAUCGAACAAACUGAUACGUGGCAUCGCGAACGCACAUUCUUUUGACGGAAUUAAUUGUUUAUUCUUUCACAGUCGCAACAUUAUUGUGAUCGCACGAGUAAGUAUCAGAGGUAAGAGAUUUUCUACAUUUUUUUAUUCAACGGAAAUGAAUUGUGCCCAAAUUCUUCCUUGGGCUGGGAACGUUUCUGGAGAGCUCGUUGCGUGAGUCGCAAAAUUUGAAUAUUUCUCAUUCACGACUCCGGAAAAAAAGUACUUCGGUUUCAUAUUCUUUUGUUCAAAAAACCUGCUCUCCAAAGUCAUCGAGAGCAGAUUCUGUAUUGUUUUUCCAUCAAUGAAUUCAGGAGUGAUCAGGUGCCUGCUUGAAAACAUUGCGGGAAUCAAGUUCAUCGGAAUGGCAUCAAAGACAAGAUUUGUGUGACGAAAAGUUCAAUAAAUUUAUAACAAAAUAUCA